rnacentral:rRNA from 1 species
GAUUAACGCUGGCGGCGUGCAUAACACAUGCAAGUCGAACGAUGAAACUUAAAUGAUUUCUUCGGAAUGAACUUAAGUGGAUUAGUGGCGGACGGGUGAGUAACGCGUGAGUAACCUGCCUUACACAAGGGGAUAGCCGUUGGAAACGACGAAUAAUACCCUAUGAUGUUUCUAUCUCGCAUGAGAUAUUAACCAAAGUGUUAGCGGAGUAAGAUGGACUUGCGUCUGAUUAGCUAGUUGGUGAGAAAAAAGCCCACCAAGGCAACGAUCAGUAGCCGGCUUGGGAGAGUGUACGGCAACAUUGGGACUGGGACACGUCCCAGACUCCUACGGAAGGCAGCAGUGGGGAAUUUUGCACAAUGGGGGAAACCCUGAUGCAGCGACGCCGCGUGAUUUAGAAGGCCUUCGGGUUGUAAAGAUCUUUUGUAUAGGAAGAAAAUGACAGUACUAUACGAAUAAGGUCCGGCUAAUUACGUG